AACCUUUACAAUGCACGCAAGUGCGAUAAGGGGACCCCGAGUGUUGGUGCCUAGCAUCAACUGUCUAACUGCUUAAAAAACAGUUAUUAGCAAGAGCCGGGUAAGAUCGGUGCCAGCCGCCGCGGUAAUACCCGCAGCCCAAGUGGUGAUCGUUAUUAUUGGGUUUAAAACGUCCGUAGCUGAUCUAGUAAAUUCCUGGGUAAAUCGAAUUGCUUAACAAUCGGAAUUCCGGGGAGACUGCUAGACUUGGGACCGGAAGAGGUCAGAAGUACUUCCGGGGUAGG
rnacentral:rRNA from 1 species